GGAAACUUGAAAACUACCGUUGGAUCGAGAAAUGGACGUCCGAGAUUCGUCCAUGUCAUCAUCAGUUAAAAUUUAACUCGCAGAUUAACUCAUGAGUUAAAAUUUUACUUGGAGUUAAAUUUUAACUCAUGGUGACGUAGACGAAUCUUAGACGUCCAUUUCUCGAUCCAGUGGUAGUUUCUAAAUUUUC
rnacentral:pre_miRNA from 1 species